rnacentral:lncRNA from 10 species
AAGCAAGAACCCAGGGAAAACAGAAGCUGCCGUGACUCCUGCCACAAUCUCCUGUGUAUCUCACCGCUUUCCUGAGGGAGCUGGGUAUCCUGGCGGGUCCAAAGCAGCUGGCUUGGUGGUCCUGAACUCUCAUCCAACAGCACAACCUAUUGCAAGACACAGAAUGAAUUCAGGAAAGUUAUGAAGAUCACACACCCUUGGGAAAGCCAAAUGCCAUGUUGUAAGGAGAGGCCCAGGUGGUGAGGAACUGAAGCCUCCUGCCAGCAGACACAUGAGUGAGUUUGGAAGUGGAUCUUUCUACCUUAGUCAAGCUUUCAGAUGACUGCAGCCCUGGUUGAUGUCUUGGGUGCAACCUUAUGACAUACGCAGGACCACCAGCCAAGCUGCUCCCAGAUUUCUGGUCUUCAGAAGCUGGGGAAUGGCUUUGAGGGAGGAAACUGCAACAGAUGUUUGGUUCUAAGUUUUAUAACUAAUGCAAAAUUUUGUUUUCUCUUUUUGUGCAUCUAAUGUGCACUAAUGUAAAAUCUUUUUGUGCAACUAAUGCAAAAUUUUGUUUUCUCUUUUUGUGCACAACAUCAAGUGUUCUGCAUCAGUUGAUAACUAAUGCAAAAUUUUGUUUUCUCUUUUUGCAUAUCAAUAUGAACACAUGGAUUUAAAAAAAUACAUUCAAUGAGUCUCAAUCAAUUGCAGUAGUUAUUCUUUUUAAUGUUCAAAUUAUUUCAUCUUUGGUCAGUGGGAGUCCCUUUAUUUUAUCUCCUGUGUCCUUUUCAUCCAACUCUAAGCGUCUUUGCUUUUUUCCUUUAUGGCAAGAUAAAUGUUUCAGACACAUGUCAUACAUUUCCUGCCUCAGACCUGGAAUCAGCCAUUUUUCCAAGGUGUUCUGGUGCUUUCAGUGGGGGCAAGGAUUGCAUACCUUUGUGAAUAGUCAUGGUUAG